rnacentral:rRNA from 1 species
UACGGGGGGGGCAAGCGUUGUUCGGAAUUACUGGGCGUAAAGGGCUCGUAGGUGGCCAACUAAGUCAGACGUGAAAUCCCUCGGCUUAACCGGGGAACUGCGUCUGAUACUGGAUGGCUUGAGUUCGGGAGAGGGAUGCGGAAUUCCAGGUGUAGCGGUGAAAUGCGUAGAUAUCUGGAGGAACACCGGUGGCGAAGGCGGCUCUCUGGACCGAGACUGACGCUGAGGCGCGAAAGCGUGGGGAGCAAACAGG